CUUUUCAACUGCCUUGAAGACUAGCCAUUUUCUGGGGUUCUAAGGGGUGAGAGAGGAAAUCUGGCUUACUGCUGUUUGAUGGAGUCACAGUCUAGGUUAAUUUUAGUUCAAGGGAUGCCUUCGGGGAAUUUGGCUGGACUUGGAAGCAGAAGAAAACAGUUCAUGGAUUUAGACUUCUGCCUGCUGAGUCUUUGGGUUCUUUCCAGAGCUGGAGCUCAGAACUGAGGCUGAGGUCCUAGUGCAGUGCCUCAUGAACCAGGGCUGCUAAUGGCCUGCAUUUGAUUUCUAAGUGAAUAGAUGACAAUUUCUGCUGAGGGUUUAUUGGUAGAUCCUGACAGUCUAGCUUUUUCCUGUCUUCUUUCCUAUUUCUAGCUGCCAAUUUGUGGUGUCUGAAGACCAAGACUACACAGCUCAUUUUGCUGAUCCUGAUACAUUAGUUAACUGGGACUUUGUGGAACAAGUGCGCAUUUGUAGCCAUGAAGUGCCAUCUUGCCCAAUAUGCCUCUAUCCACCUACUGCAGCCAAGAUAACCCGUUGUGGACACAUCUUC
rnacentral:sRNA from 1 species